rnacentral:rRNA from 1 species
UCCGGUUGAUCCUGCCAGACCCCACUGCUAUCGGGAUAGGACUAAGACAUGCUAGUCGAGCGCUCUUUAGCCAUGAUAAGAGCGCGGCACACAGCUCAGUAACACGUGGCUAACCUGCCCUCGGGACGGGAACACCCCCGGGAAACUGGGGCUAAUUCCCGAUAGGCGAAGAACUCUGGAAUGAGUCUCCACCCAAAAGACGCUUAGAUCACGCUUUUAAGCGCCGCCCAAGGAUGGGGCCGCGACCGAUCAGGUUGUUGGUGAGGUAACGGCCCACCAAGCCUUUUACCGGUGCGGGCCGUGGGAGCGGGAGCCCGGAGAUGGGCACUGAGACAAGGGCCCAGGCCCUACGGGGCGCAGCAGUCGCGAAAACUUUGCAAUAAGCGAAAGCUUGACAGGGCUAUCCCGAGUGCCAUCCGCUGAGGAAGGCUUUUACCCAGUCUAGAACGCUGGGAGAAUAAGGAGAGGGCAAGUCUGGUGUCAGCCGCCGCGGUAAUACCAGCUCUCCGAGUGGUGUGGAUGUUUAUUGGGCCUGAAGCAUCCGUAGCUGGCCAGGCAAGUCCCCUGUUAAAUCCACCGAAUCAAUCGUUGGAUUGCGGGGGAUACUGCCCGGCUAGGGGACGAGAGAGGCCGACGGUAUUUCCGGGGUAGGGGUGAAAUCCUAUAAUCCCGGGAGGACCACCAGUGGCGAAGGCUGUCGGCUAGAACGCGCCCGACGGUGAGGGAUGAAAGCUGGGGGAGCGAACCGGAUUAGAUACCCGGGUAGUCCCAGCUGUAAACGAUGCAGGCUAGGUGUUUGGGCGGCCACGUGCCGCUCUAGUGCCGCAGGGAAGCUGUUAAGCCUGCCGCCUGGGGAGUACGGCCGCAAGGCUGAAACUUAAAGGAAUUGGCGGGGGAGCACCACAAGGGGUGAAGCUUGCGGUUUAAAUGGAGUCAACGCCGG